rnacentral:snRNA from 1 species
AUGCUUCCUUUUGCAAUACAUCUACUGGAAUUGGAAUGAUACAGAGUCAAUUAGCCUGGCCCCUGUGCAAGAAUAACACAGAUUUGCUAAAUGUUCAUAUUCUU